GGUCAUAGUUGACCCACUGUACAAACGAAUGGGAUUUAAAAAAAAUAUCGGUAACGCUUGAAAAGUAUUUUUAGACCAAAGGAAAACAAAUUACGGUGUAAAAAUCGGUCUAACGUUAUUCCUUUCUUACGGGGCCCACUUUGCCCGGACCUCUCUUACUCACAUAUACCACACGUACGCAUACAGGGAUGUAACCUCUUCUCUUGUACUUGAAUCCCACUCUCUCGCAGCUAAAGCCCCGAUCGUAACCACUUGUUUUGUAAUAUGCGUAUGAUGUAUAUGCAGAUACAUACAGCGUACACUAGUAUAAUAGCGGAUGAUGUCUAGGACCACCGUCUAUACUACGGGUGAAUGUAAUCUGUGCAAUCCUUAGCCUCGUUCUCAUCACAAGCCUCUGUCUCGGUUCGGUGGAUUCGGUCAAUUGCUCUCUAACACUCGCAGUCAGCAGAGUGCAGGUUGCUCGUCGUUGUGGCGAAUGAAGAAUCUGAACAAAGAAAAUCGUGUCCUAGGGAUCUUGCUCCUCGUUCUUUGCGAAAACACUGUCACCAAAUGAAAAUUUCUCGUCGAAAGUGUUGAUAGGAUGAAUGACAUGGAUUUCAAGGUAAUUGGAUUGGCGUUGCGUUGGCUUUUGACCAUUUCGGUGCUUGUGCACGGGACUCUCCUACCCGUACGUAUGCUACAAGAGCUGGGUAAGCGCGCCAACGUGUUGAGCGCACGGUACGACCAGAUGGAGGCUGGCAUACUUGCCUCGAAGAUUCACCUGACUCAGGGUACACCUGCUUGGUAUUUAGGAGCAUCACAUACGAUCCUUCCGGAAGUCAGAAAUCUCACGCACAGGGCAAUUCGAUCAGAAACCGUUGCGAUGAUGUUAGUGGCAGCUAUGAAUAUGACACCGCACGAGGCUGUCGCGAUCCUACCUUCAAUGGGACCGGCCGCAUUCGGACUAUGCGACAGCAACUCUGAGGAAUUUUUCGAAAUAAUCGAGAGUUGUGAGAGUACGAUUUGUCCGAGUAGGAUGAAGUACAGAAGCCAGUCGGGUCGGUGUAACAACCCCAAACACUCCAAUUGGGGUACUGCUUUUGAGUCAUAUGUCAGACUCUUGCCGGCUGAAUACGCGGACGGCGUAUCGCUUCCCCGGUUCUUGAAUCUCCCGAGUGCCCGGGAUGUAUCGCUGGGUGUCCACUCAGGUCUACCGGAUCAGCCACAUCCACAUUUGAUGGCCCUGGCGGCGUUAUUCGGUCAGUUCAUCGCGUACGAUUUGUCUCACACACCGAAGGUCGAACUGCCCGACGGAACGAAGCUCAAGUGCUGCGAUGUCAGCUAUGAACACUUUCAUUCCGAGUGCUUUCCUAUAAAGACUGGCGACAACACGGCGACCCACUGUAUGGAGUAUACACGGUCGGCCCCGGAUCCCGGAAACAUCUCCGAGGGCUGUAGGUUAGGGCCGCGACAGCAAAUAAACCAGGCAACAUCAUACCUGGAUCUGUCUUCGGUCUAUGGAAUUUCUGAUUCGAAGACGAGAGUACUGCGCUCAGGUGUCGGAGGCCGCCUGAAAACGCAAAGGAAAAAUUUACCAAUGCCCUCUGCAAUACCGGGCAGCUGUCGGAGUGAUAUCGCAGCGUUUCCGUGCUUUUACAGUGGCGAUGCCCGUGUCAACGAACAUCCGGGUCUCGCUCUCAUACACCUUCUCUUUAUUCGAGAGCACAAUAAGGUGGCAGCUCGACUCGAGUCCCUCAAUUGUCACUGGAAUGAUGACACGUUAUUUGAGGAAGCUCGGCGAAUCGUGAUUGCCCAAUUACAGCACAUCACCUACAACGAAUUCCUGCCAGUUGUCCUAGGCGAGUCUGCGCUUGACAGAUGGAAUCUUCGACUCAAGGUGGAAGGCUUCUUCGGGGGAUAUCAACCGCAGACAGAUGCGACAUUGUCAAACGCGGCUGCUUCCGUGGGUCUUCUUUUCGUCGCAGCAAUCACCCCCAAGACCAUCGAUCUGGUUGAUACGCGAUCGAAAAAGUUCGUCAAGUUUGGCGAAAGAUCUUUACUUUCUUCGUUUUACGCACCGCAGGAACUUUAUGAAGCCGGUGCAAUUGAUCGACUGAUCGCCGGGGUAACAGCUAGCCACUCUAGGAAACCUAUGCCUCCCGGACUCAACGAAAUAUUUCUUGGACGAUACUUCCACGACGGUAAAUCUUCGGAGAAUCCGAUCGAUCUUGUUGCGCAGCUCAUUCAACGCGGCAGGGAUCACGGUCUACCGCCAUAUACGAAGUGGAGGACAUUUUGCGGAAUGCCUGACGUCAGUACCUUCGCGGAUCUCCGUGGUACGAUAUCCGUCGAAGCUAUACGGAGGUUACGCCUCAUAUACGGCUCAUUCGUGAGGACUUUAAAUGCGUUGCCUAGUUUGAGGCGGCGGUUAACAACAUUCCUUCAAUAAGUUACUACGAGUGUCAAGGAUGUCGACCUCGUUACCGGAGCCUUCGCAGAGGCUCCCAUUGAGGGAUCCAUAAUAGGUCCAACAUUUUCAUGUCUACUCGGUCGCACGUUCAGAAAUAUUCGCUUCGGUGACAGAUAUUGGUACGAGAAC
rnacentral:misc_RNA from 1 species